GACGAACGCUGGCGGCGUGCCUAAUACAUGCAAGUCGAGCGGACCUCUUCGGAGGUCAGCGGCGGACAGGUGAGUAACACGUGGGCAACCUGCCUGUAAGACUGGGAUAACACCGGGAAACCGGUGCUAAUACCGGAUAAUCCUUUUUCUCACAUGAGAAGAAGCUGAAAGACGGUUUCGACUGUCACUUACAGAUGGGCCCGCGGCGCAUUAGCUAGUUGGUGGGGUAACGGCCCACCAAGGCGACGAUGCGUAGCCGACCUGAGAGGGUGAUCGGCCACACUGGGACUGAGCCACGGCCCAGACUCCUACGGGAGGCAGCAGGAGGGAAUCUUCCGCAAUGGACGAAAGUCUGACGGAGCAACGCCGCGUGAGCGAAGAAGGCCUUCGGGUCGUAAAGCUCUGUUGUCAGGGAAGAACAAGUGCCGGAGUAACUGCCGGCACCUUGACGGUACCUGACCAGAAAGCCACGGCUAACUACGUGCCAGCCGCCGCGGUAAAAC
rnacentral:rRNA from 1 species